AUCCAACUGAGACGAAAUGACAGAGAUCAUUAUUGCCGUUGCUGCAAAAGUUUCAGAGUACUUGGUUGCUCCAAUUGGACGCCGGCUUAGUUAUCUGUUUUGCUAUCGGAACUAUACUGAUGAACUCCACAACAAAGUUGAGAAGCUGGGAAAAGAGAGGGAUGACGUGCUGAUAACUGUUGAUGAAGCUAGGAGAAGAGGGGAUAAAAUCAGACCUAUUGUUCAGGAGUGGCUGAAUCGGGUUCAUGAGAUUACAGGGGAGGCCGAGGCGUUGAAGAAGGAUGAAAACAAGAGCUGUUUCAAUGGGUGGUGUCCUAAUCUCAAGUCACGGUACCUGCUAAGCAGGGAAGCGGACAAGAAGGCGCAGGUUAUUGUUGAAGUCCAAGGAAACCGCAAUUUCCCCGAUGGCGUAUCAUUUCGUGUCCCUCCACGGAAUGUAACGUUUAAAGAAUAUGAAUCUUUUGAGUCAAGAGCCUCAACUUUGAACAAAAUUAUGGAUGCAUUAAGAGAUGAUAAGAUGAAGAUGAUUGGGGUAUGGGGGAUGGGCGGCGUGGGCAAAACCACACUGAUGAAACAAUUAGCUGAACAAGCUAAGCAAGAGAAGCUGUUCACCACAGAAGUCUAUAUACAGGUAUCUUGGACUCGAGAACCAGAAAAAAUUCAAGAAGGAAUUUCGGAUAUUCAACAAAAUAUUGCGGACAUGUUAGGCUUGGAACUUAAGGAGGUGGCUAAACCCGCUAGAGCAGGUAAACUGAUGGAGAGACUGAAGACCGAGAAGAUCCUUAUUAUCUUAGAUGACAUUUGGAAGGAAGUUAAUUUGGAGGAAGUCGGAAUUCCUUCUAAAGAUGAUCACAAAGAUUGCAAAAUAGUGUUGGCUUCUAGAGACGAAGACCUAUUACGCAAAGACAUGUGCGCACAAGAAUGUUUUCCAAUUCAACAUUUACAAGAAGAAGAAGCUUGGCAUUUAUUUAAGAAGACAGCAGGUGAUUCCGUGGAGGGGGACCAACUGCGACCCACAGCAAGGGAGGUAGUUAACGAAUGUCAGGGUCUACCAAUUGCAAUUGUAACAAUUGCGAAGGCAUUAAAAGAUGAAAGCGUGGAUAUAUGGAAGAAUGCCUUGGGCGAACUGAGGAGUUCUGCGCCAGCAAACAUCAGAGGAGUGGAGGAAAAGGUAUACACAUGUCUGGAGUGGAGUUACAACCAUUUGAAAGGUGAUGAAGUCAAGUCAUUGUUCUUACUUUGUGGUUGGUUGAGCUAUGGUGAUAUUUCAAUGGAUCGCUUGUUAAGGUAUGCUAUGGGUUUGGAUUUGUUUGACCACAUCAAGUCAUUGGAGCAAGCAAGAAAUAAACUAGUUACAUUGGUGAGAACCCUCAAAGCCUCAAGCUUGUUACUUGACGGUGAAGUUCCUAGAUACAAUCUUUUUGGACCCUCAAGUUUGCUUUUCUUGGAUGCUGAUAACAAGUCUGUCAGGAUGCAUGAUGUUGUUCGUGAUGUUGCCAGAAAUAUUGCAUCCAAGGAUCCUCAUCGAUUUGUAGUUAGAAAUAUUCCAUUGGAAGAAUGGCCAGAGACUGAUGAAUCCAAAUACAUCUCUUUAAGUUGCAAUGAUGUGCAUGAGCUUCCUCACAGGUUGGUAUGUCCGAAACUUCAAUUUUUUCUGUUGCAGAACAACAGUCCUUCCUUGAAAAUCCCAAACACAUUUUUUGAAGGGAUGAACCUACUCAAAGUUUUAGACUUGUCUGAAAUGCAUUUCACAACACUACCUUCAACGCUUCAUUCCCUUCCAAAUCUUCGAACAUUACGUCUAGACUGGUGCAAGUUGGGAGACAUAGCUCUAAUUGGAGAGCUAAAGAAACUACAAGUUCUUAGCAUGGUGGGUUCCGAUAUCCGACGAUUGCCUAGUGAAAUGGGGCAGUUGACGAAUCUAAGGCUGUUGGAUUUGAAUCGUUGUUGGCAGCUUGAAGUAAUUCCACGAAAUAUCUUAUCAAGCCUGUCUCGAUUAGAAUGUUUGUGCAUGAAACAGAGCUUUACUCAAUGGGCAGCUGAAGCAGUUAGUGAUGGAGAAAGCAAUGCUUGUUUAUCGGAGCUGAAUCAUUUGCGUCAUUUGACAACUAUACAGAUAGAAGUGCCAGCUGUCGAGUUGCUACCAAAAGAAGACAUGUUCUUUGAGAACUUGACAAGAUAUGCAAUAUUUGCAGGCAAUUUUGAUCGGUGGAAUGAAGAUUAUGAAACAUCAAAAACAUUAAAGCUGGAACAGGUUGAUACAAGCUUACUUUCGAGGGAUGGAAUUGGAAAGUUGUUGAAGAAAACUGAAGAACUAAAGUUGAGUAAUUUGGAAGAAGUAUGUCGUGGCCCAAUUCCCCUAAGGUCGUUGGAUAACUUGAAAAUUUUAGAUGUGGAGAAAUGUCAUGGAUUGAAAUUUCUCUUCUUACUUUCCACAGCUAGAGGCCUUUCCCAACUAGAAGAAAUGACAAUAAAUGAUUGCAAUGCCAUGCAACAAUUAAUCGGAUGUGAAGGCGAGUUCGAAAUAAAAGAAGUUGAUCAUGUUGGGACCGACUUGCAACUGCUUCCUAAAUUACGACUUUUGGAACUUAGGGAUCUACCAGAGCUCAUGAAUUUCGACUACUUUGGCUCUAAUUUGGAAACAACAUCGCAAGAAACAUGUUCCCAAGGCAAUCCUGAUAUCCACAUGUCAUUUUUCAGUUAUCAGGUUUCAUUCCCUAAUUUGGAGAAGUUGAUACUUGAUGAUCUUCCCAAAUUGAGGGAGAUAUGGCAUCACCAACUUCCACUUGGGUCCUUCAACAAUUUGAAAAUCUUAAGAGUUCAGAAUUGUCCAGGCCUAUUCAAUCUUAUUCCAUCUCAUUUGAUACAGAGUUUUGACAAUUUGAAAGAAUUAGAGGUGUAUAACUGUGAAGUCCUAAAACAUGUGUUUGAUCUUCAAGGACUUGAUGGAAAUAUUAGGAUUCUCCCAAGGUUAGAAUCCUUACGGUUAGAGGCACUACCUAAGUUGAGGCGUGUUGUAUGCAAUGAGGAUGAUGACAAGAAUGAUAGCGUGAGGUGUCGUUUCUCUUCUUCCACGGCUUUUCACAACCUUAAAUUCCUAUCCAUCACAAAUUGUGGGAACAAAGUUGAAGAUGAAGGACAUAUCAAUACUCCUACGGAAGAUGUAGUGCUCUUCGAUGGAAAGGUUUCAUUCCCUAAUUUGGAGGAUUUGAUACUUCGUGAUCUUCCCAAAUUGAGGGAGAUAUGGCAUCACCAACUUCCACUUGGGUCCUUCAACAAUUUGAAAAUCUUAGAAGUUCAGAAUUGUUCAGUCCUAUUCAAUCCUAUUCCAUCUCAUUUGAUACAGAGAUUGGACAAUUUGAAAGAAUUAGAGGUGAAUAAUUGUGAAGUCCUAAAACAUGUGUUUGAUCUUCAAGGACUUGAUGGAAGUAUUAGGAUUCUCCCAAUGUUAGAAUCCUUACGGUUAACGGCACUACCUAAGUUGAGGCGUGUUGUAUACAAUGAGGAUGAGGACAAGAAUGAUAGCGUGAGGUGUCUUUUCUCUUCUUCCACGACUUUUCACAACCUUAAAUUGCUAUCCAUCACAAAUUGUGGGAACAAAGUUGAAGAUGAGGAACAUAUCAAUACUCCUACGGAAGAUGUAGUGCUCUUCGAUGGAAAGGUUUCAUUCCCUAAUUUGGAAGAGUUAACACUCAAUGGUCUUCGCAAGUUAAAGAUGAUAUGGCAUCAACAACUUUCGCUUGAAUCAUCUUUUUCCAAGUUCAAGGAUUUUCAUCACCUCAAAAAGUUAAGUAUCACUAAUUGUGAGAUGCUCUUGGAUGAAAAGGUUUCAUUCCCUCCUAAUUUGGAGGAGUUGGUUUUAAAAAGCCUUCCCAAGUUGACAGAGAUAGAUAUUGGGAAUCUCUCAAAGUUAAACAUUCUAAAGUUAAAGGCACUACAUGAAUGCUUUAAGGUUUCACAUUCUCCUAAUUUGGAGGAGAUAGUUCUAAAAAGUCUUCCAAAAUUGAAGGAGAUAGAUUUUGGGAUCCUCCCUAAGUUAAAAAUCCUAAAGGUUGAGAAACUACCUCAAUUAAGACAUAUUAUAUGCAAUGAGGAUAAGAAUUUCAGCAAGAGACGUGUUUUUUCUUCAAUGUUCAAGAAUUUUCACAAUCUCAAAACGUUACAUAUCAUUGAUUGUGGGAUGGAAGACAUGAGAGGUGUCAAUACUUCUACUAAUGAUGAAGUGCUCUUCAAUGAAAAGGCUUCAUUCCUUGAAUCAAGAGCCUCCACUCUGAACGAUAUUAUGGAUGCCUUAAGAGACGACAAUAUCAACUUGAUUGGAGUAUGGGGCAAGUCCGGUGUGGGCAAAACAACACUGCUGAAACAAGUGGCUCAACAAGCUAAGCAACAACGGUUGUUCACCAGACAAGCCUAUACGGAUGUAUCCUGGACUCGAGACUCGGAUAAACGUCAAGAAGGAAUUGCGGAACUUCAACAAGAAAUUGAGAACGCGUUGGACUUGUCACUUUGGGAGGAGGAUGAAUCCGAAAAAGCGGAUGAACUGAAGCAGGAACUGAUGAAGAAAGGGAAGAUCCUUAUUAUCUUAGAUGAUAUUUGGAGGGAAGUUGAUUUGGAGAAAGUAGGAAUUCCUUGUAAAGGUGAUGAAACACAAUGCAAAAUAGUGUUGGCUUCGAGAGAUGUAGACCUAUUAUGCGAAAACAUGGGUGCACAAAUAUGUUUUCAGGUAGAACAUUUACCACCAGAAGAAGCUUGGAGUCUUUUUAAGAAGACAGCAGGUGAUUCCGUGGAGGAGAAUCUUGAACUGCGACCCAUAGCCAUUCAAGUAGUUGAAGAAUGUGAGGGUCUACCAAUUGCAAUUGUAACAAUUGCCAAGGCAUUAAAAGAUGAGACCGUGGCUGUAUGGAAGAAUGCCUUGGAACAACUUAGGAGUUGUGCACCAACAAACAUUAGAGCAGUGGAUAAGAAGGUUUACUCAUGUCUGGAGUGGAGCUACACCCAUUUGAAGGGCGAUGACGUUAAGUCAUUGUUCUUACUUUGUGGGAUGCUGGGCUAUGGUGAUAUUCCAUUGUAUCUCUUGUUACGAUAUGGUGUGGGUCUGGAUUUGUUUGGCCACAUCGACUCAUUGGAGCAAGCAAGAAAUAGACUACUUGCAUUGGUGGAAAUCCUCAAAGCCUCAGGCUUGUUACUCGACAGUCAUGAAGAUAGAGAUGGGUUUGUGAGGAUGCACGAUGUUGUUUGCAAUGUUGUCAGAGAAAUUGCAUCCAAGGAUCCUCAUCCAUUUGUAGUCAGAGAAGAUGUUGGAUUGGAAGAAUGGUCAGAGACUGAUGAAUCCAAAAGGUGCGCUUUCAUCUCUUUGCAUUGCAAAGCUGUGCAUGAGCUUCCUCAAGGGUUGGUAUGUUCGGACCUUCAAUUUUUCCAAUUGCAUAACAGCAAUCCUUCCUUGAAUAUCCCGAACACAUUUUUCAAAGGGAUGAAAAAACUCAAAGUUUUAGAUUUACCCAAAACGCAUUUUACAACGCUACCUUCAUCACUUGAUUCCCUUACAAAUCUCCAAACAUUGCGUCUAGAUGGGUGCAAGUUGGAAGACAUUGCUCUAAUUGGAAAGCUAACAAAACUAGAAGUUCUUAGCUUGAUGGGUUCUACAAUCCAACAAUUGCCUAAUGAAAUGUCGCGAUUGACCAAUCUAAGGCUGUUGGAUUUGAAUGAUUGUGAGAAGCUUGAAGUAAUUCCACGAAAUAUCUUAUCAAGUUUGUCUCAAUUAGAAUGUUUGUACAUGAAAUCUAGCUUUACUCAAUGGGCAACUGAAGGUGAAAGCAAUGCUUGCUUAUCCGAGCUAAAUCAUUUGUCUCAUUUGACAACUUUAUAUAUAUCUAUACGAGAUGCCAAGUUGCUACCAAAAGACAUUCUAUUUGAGAACUUGACAAGAUAUGUGAUAUCUAUGGGUUAUUGGCGGGGGUGGAGGUUCAGAACCAAAAAAGCAUUGGAGCUCUGGGGAGUCAAUAGAAGCUUACAUUUGGGGGAUGGAAUGAGCAAGUUGUUGGAGAGAAGUGAAGAACUAGAGUUCAGUGGAUUAAGUGGUACUAAAUAUGUUCUUCACCCAUCAGAUAGGGAGAGUUUCCUUGAACUAAAGCAUCUCAAAGUUGCUGGUAGUCCUGAGAUUCAAUACAUCAUGGAUUCAAAGAAUCAACAGUUGUUGCAACAUGGUGCCUUUCCUCUAUUGGAGUCAUUGGUUCUUGACGCUCUGGACAAUUUGGAAGAAGUAUGGCAUGGCCCAAUUCCAAUAGGGUCUUUUGGUAACUUAAAAACUCUAAACGUGGAUUCAUGUCCUAAAUUGAAAUUUCUCGUUCUGCUUUCCACGGCUAGAGGCCUUUCCCAACUUGAAGAAAUGACAAUAAAAGAUUGCAAUGCCAUGCAACAAAUAAUCGCAUAUGAAAGGGAGUCAAAAAUAGAAGAAGAUGGACAUGUUGGGACCAACUUGCAACUAUUCCCAAAAUUGCGAUCCUUGAAACUCCAGAGUCUACCACAGCUCAUCAACUUCAGUUCCGAGUUAGAAACAACAUCUUCCACAUCUUUGAGUACAAAUGCAAGGUCGGAAGACUCAUUUUUCAGUCAUAAGGUUUCAUUCCCUAAGCCAGAGAAGUUGAUACUCUAUAAUGUGCCCAAGUUGAAUCUUUCUUCAAUCUACGGAUCUUAAGGGUGUAGGAAUGUCCAUGUCUACUUAAUCUUGUCCCAGCUCAUUUGAUACACAACUUCCAGAAUUUAAAAAAGAUAGAUGCGCAAGAUUGUUAACUCCUAGAGCAUGUGAUUAUUCUUCAAGAAAUUGAUGGAAAUGUUGAGAUCCUCUCAAAGUUAGAAACCUUGAAAUUGAAGAACUUGCCUAGGCUGAGAUGGAUUGAAGACGGGAAUGAUAGGAUGAAACAUAUUUCCUCUCUUAUGACACUCAUGAAUAUUCAAAACCUUCAAGAACUACAUAUCAUUGAUUGUAGUAUGGAAGAACUGCGGAAGAUGUAGUACUCUUUUGUGAGAAGGUACACUGGAUUUCCUUUUAUGUUCUGCUCUAUUUGAGAUGAAGUACAGAUGCAGCCUUUGAAAGAGAAAUUAUUAAUGAUGUUUGAGAAAUUGUCAAUGAUGUUUUCUUUAAUCAUUUCCUUCAUUUGAUAGAGUUUAUUUACUCAAGCACAUGUUAGAUUUUCAUAUGCAUUUUGUUAUGUUCAUUGUUAUAUCCCUAAUAAAAUUGUUUGUUAAGUGUGUGGUCUUGCACAAUGAUGAAAGUUUUAAUUUAUUAGUA